rnacentral:tRNA from 1 species
GGCUCAGUGGCUCAAUUGAUUAUGCCUUUGAGUUUCAAUCUUAAGGUUGUGGGUUCAAAUCCCAUUUAAGCCA